rnacentral:lncRNA from 1 species
CGGGAGGAAGGGGAGGGCCGUGAAGGAGCGCAGAGUGUGGUGGGCGUGGGGAGCUGCAUGAGGGGAGGGGAGUGGAGGAACGCACAGAGUGAUGUGCGUGGCAACCGGCAUGAUGGAGGAAAGGGUUGAUACACUGGUGCUCUCCUAAGCGCUAUAAGCAGCAGUGACUGUGACUCCUUUCAGCCCUCAGGCCAUGGAGCAGCUGGCCUGCCGCUGCAAUUUGCUCUUGCCCUGAAUAUUUGGGGCGGGACCUUCAGCCUGCGUGAGGCCUGAAGAGGAUGUUCCUGCCACAGAAGGCAUCCAAGUCUUAUGGCAGGCACCGCUGUCACGCUCAGACUUCUCAGACUUGGUCUCAGGCUCAGCUGCUGUCUCUAUGGGGCGGCUGUGGACUCUUCAGAUGACAGAGUUUUCUUGAGUAAUUGAGCAGAGCUUCCUCUGACUUGCCUACAGGUGAGUUCAGUUAUUUUGUUCCUUGAGACCACUCCCAUUUCCCAGAACUAUUGUUGACUAUGCUGCUUAGCUUCAGUGGUUUCCUUGUUGUGUUUCAUCUCAUUAUUCCCAGAAAUGUAGAUGCCUCACCAGUGACGAAACACUAGGAAUGAUGAUUGCCCUGAUGGCUGUUCUUUUAGGCCAGUUGGAUCAUAAAA